AUUGAACGCUGGCGGCAGGCCUAACACAUGCAAGUCGAGCGGAUGACGGGAGCUUGCUCCUUGAUUCAGCGGCGGACGGGUGAGUAAUGCCUAGGAAUCUGCCUGGUAGUGGGGGACAACGUUUCGAAAGGAACGCUAAUACCGCAUACGUCCUACGGGAGAAAGCAGGGGACCUUCGGGACUUGCGCUAUCAGAGGAGCCUAGGUCGGAUUAGCUAGUAGGUGAGGUAAUGGCUCACCUAGGCGACGAGCCGUAACUGGUCCGAGAGGAUGAUCAGUCACACUGGAACUGAGACACGGUCCAGACUCCUACGGGAGGCAGCAGUGGGGAAUAUUGGACAAUGGGCGAAAGCCUGAUCCAGCCAUGCCGCGUGUGUGAAGAAGGUCUUCGGAUUGUAAAGCACUUUAAGUUGGGAGGAAGGGUUGUACGUUAAUACCGUGCAAUUUUGACGUUACCGACAGAAUAAGCACCGGCUAACUCUGUGCCAGCCGCCGCGGUAA
rnacentral:rRNA from 1 species